GACGAACGCUGGCGGCGUGCCUAAUACAUGCAAGUUGAGCGAUGAAGAUUGGUGCUUGCACCAAUUUGAAGAGCAGCGAACGGGUGAGUAACGCGUGGGGAAUCUGCCUUUGAGCGGGGGACAACAUUUGGAAACGAAUGCUAAUACCGCAUAACAACUUUAAACAUAAGUUUUAAGUUUGAAAGAUGCAAUUGCAUCACUCAAAGAUGAUCCCGCGUUGUAUUAGCUAGUUGGUGAGGUAAAGGCUCACCAAGGCGAAGAUACAUAGCCGACCUGAGAGGGUGAUCGGCCACAAUGGGACUGAGACACGGCCCAAACUCCUACGGGAGGCAGCAGUAGGGAAUCUUCGGCAAUGGACGAAAGUCUGACCGAGCAACGCCGCGUGAGUGAAGAAGGUUUUCGGAUCGGAAAACUCUGUUGGUAGGGAAGAACGUUGGGGAGAGUGGAAAGCUCAUCAAGUGACGGUAACUACCCAGAAAGGGACGGCUAACUACGUG
rnacentral:rRNA from 1 species